CGGAAUUAUUGGGCGGAAAGAGCUCGUAGGCGGGUCGGCAAGGCGGAUGGGAAAUCUCCACGCUCAACGUGGAGGGGCCAUUCGAAACUGCCGUGACUCGAGUCCGGUAGGGGAGUGCGGAAUUCCCGGUGUAGCGGUGAAAUGCGCAGAUAUCGGGAGGAACACCAGUGGCGAAGGCGGCACUCUGGGCCGGAACUGACGCUGAGGAGCGAAAGCGUGGGGAGCGAACAGG
rnacentral:rRNA from 1 species